rnacentral:pre_miRNA from 1 species
UCUUAGGGAUGAGCAAAUAAAGUGGUUUCCUGAGGUGAAAUCUACUCCUGGUGAAAACGCUGUGAA